rnacentral:lncRNA from 1 species
ACAUUGAAAAUUACAGCAAGAAAAUUGGCACAUGGCCUAACAAACCACACAUAAUUUCCCUCUCAAAAUCCCAUAAAAUCAGGAUCAUUUCCUCUUAAUUCUCCUCCUAACACAAUUCUCUCAAUUCACAAGAAUUUGCAACUGAUUCUAAAAAUAUCUUCACAACUUACACGCUUACAAAAAAAUCCUCACAUGCUCUCAAUGCUAAACCUAAACUAGCCUAUUUAAUCUAACACUAUGGACAAAGUAGAGCAACCACCAAUUCCCUAUUUCUGAGUUAUAAUUCCACACUGAGAAAAGUAAAUCCGCAACUUACAAAUCUAAAAAUCCUCACUAAAGCUCUCUUUGCAGCAACCAUUAGAGUUUCACCUUGAAGCUAUAAUUUUGUUUGAGCUUAGCCUCUUUUACCCUCUUCAGAACACAAUGCACAACAACAAAUGCAGAAUGAAUUCAUAGAAAGAAAAAGGCUUUAGAAAAAGAAGUUAAAAGAAGUGAAAAAGGAAGAAGCGGAAGAGAAAGAAAGGAAAAAAAAGCAUUGUUGGAAGUAGGUCGUCGUCAGAGCUUUCGCCGGAGAUGCUACUUUCUCCGAUUUGGUGGCUAUUUAUCAAUUUUCUUCAUGUUUUUACUUGAUUAUUGUUGUUGUAGGCUCGAGUUCCCCUUCCCCAUGUUAAUUCUUGUCGGAUGUCUGUAAAUCGAAACUAAAUAUUGAAUUGGGGUUUUGGAUAUUAUUGGUUGUUGUAAAUUUGAAGUUUACAUUCAUGUUUAGGAUGUAAAAAUAGGUAGGGUUGGUGUUUAAAAGUUUUUGAUUUGGGCUUAUUUUGGAGAUUUCUGGAAAUUGCUCAAGAACAAUCAAAUGUUAUUGAGCACAUUCAUGUGAUGUUCAUAGUGAUUCUGGGUUUGAAAGGCUUUUAAUCUAUUUUGUUUAUGGUGUAUGCAUGUGGUUUUGUUAGUAGAGAGA